rnacentral:lncRNA from 1 species
GCUGCUAGAUUUGUGUGGGUUGGAUUUGGUUCAAGCAUGGCCUAGCUUGCGUUGCUUGAUAUUUUGUAAGGUAAGACGAUAAGAAACUUAUCUACUCAAUAAUUGUUUUAGAUUUUUUUUUUCUUUCAUGCAAAUCUAAGUUUCUAUUAUACCAAAUAUGCUAUGCUAAAAACCAUGAUUUUUUUUUUUAUGAUUUGCUAAGGGGUAUUAUCGAAGCACAUAUCAAUC